rnacentral:rRNA from 1 species
AUUGAACGCUAGCGGGAUGCUUUACACAUGCAAGUCGAACGAGUGGCGGACGGGUGAGUAAUAUAUCGGAAAGUGCCCAGUAGCGGGGGAUAACUACUCGAAAAAGUGGCUAAUACCGCAAACUCUUGGAGCGGCCGAUAUCGGAUGAGCGAGUUGGUGGGGUAAAGGCUAAACAAGGCAACGAUCCGUAGCUGGGUUGGGAGGACGACAAGCAACCCUGGGACUGAGACACGGCACAGACUCCUCCGGUAGGCAUCAGUGGGGAAUUUUGGACAAGGGGGGAAACCCUGACCCAGCCAUCCCGCUUGUAUGAGAAGGCCUUCGGGUUGUAAAGUACUUUUGGCAGAGAAGCGGUAUCUGCAGAAUAAGCACCGGCUAACGACGUGCCAGCAGCCGCGGUAAUUC